rnacentral:lncRNA from 1 species
CUUGGGUUCUCUGUGCUUCUCCCCUGGGCCACACAGAGGCCCAUGGGGGACCACACUUGCAUGCUGAGAACAAGAUCCACUUCUGCGUGGCUCAGACAGCCUGCCUCAGAAUCAUCUCAGACAUUGAGGUUGAAUUCCAUUUAAAAAAAUUUUGAACAACCCUGCAGAAGCCAGCCUUGUUUUGGGUGCCUGUGGUCUGGAGAAUGAGCUCCAGGG